AGCGAACGCUGGCGGCAGGCCUAACACAUGCAAGUCGAACGAACCUUUCGGGGUUAGUGGCGGACGGGUGAGUAACACGUGGGAACGUGCCUUUAGGUUCGGAAUAACUCAGGGAAACUUGUGCUAAUACCGAAUGUGCCCUUCGGGGGAAAGAUUAAUCGCCUUUAGAGCGGCCCGCGUCUGAUUAGCUAGUUGGUUGAGGUAAUGGCUCACCAAGGCGACGAUCAGUAGCUGGUCUGAGAGGAUGAUCAGCCACAUUGGGACUGAGACACGGCCCAAACUCCUACGGGAAGCAGCAGUGGGGAAUCUUGCGCAAUGGGCGAAAGCCUGACGCAGCCAUGCCGCAUGAAUGAUGAAGGUCUUAGGAUUGUAAAAUUCUUUCACCGGGGACGAUAAUGACGGUACCCGGAGAAGAAGCCCCGGCUAACUUCGUG
rnacentral:rRNA from 1 species